rnacentral:rRNA from 1 species
GAAGGUCAGGCUGAAGACCUUACCCGAUUAGCUGAGAGGUGGUGCAUGGCCGUCGUCAGUUCGUACUGUGAAGCAUCCUGUUAAGUCAGGCAACGAGCGAGACCCACGUCCACAGUUGCCAGCAUACCCUCCGGGGUGAUGGGUACACUGUGGAGACCGCCGCUGCUAAAGCGGAGGAAGGAGUGGGCAACGGUAGGUCAGUAUGCCCCGAAUCUCCCGGGCUACACGCGGGCUACAAUGGUUGGUACAAUGGGCAUCUACCCCGAAAGGGGAAGGAAAUCUCUUAAAGCCAAUCGUAGUUCGGAUUGAGGGCUGCAACUCGCCCUCAUGAAGUUGGAAUCCGUAGUAAUCGCGUUUCAACAGAACGCGGUGAAUACGUCCCUGCUCCUU